rnacentral:rRNA from 1 species
AGAGUUUGAUCCUGGCUCAGGACGAACGCUGGCGGUGUGCUUCACACAUGCAAGUCGAGCGAAUGAAGUAGGUAGCUUGCUACUUAUGGAUUUAGCGGCGGACGGGUGAGUAAUAUAUAGGAAUCUGCCUUAGAGCGGGGAACAACAGACCGAAAGGUUUGCUAAUGCCCCAUAGGUAUGCAGUCUUCGGAUUGUAUAUUAAAGGAGUAAUCCACUCUAAGAUGAGCCUGUAUCCGAUUAGCUAGUUGGCGGGGUAAAGGCCCACCAAGGCUACGAUCGGUAGUUGGUCUGAGAGGAUGAUCAGCCACAAUGGGACUGAGACACGGCCCAUACUCCUACGGGAGGCAGCAGUGGGGAAUUUUACACAAUGGGGGAAACCCUGAUGUAGCGACACCGCGUGAACGAAGAAGCCUUUUGGGGUGUAAAGUUCUGUCGGCUGGAACGAAAAAAAUGACGGUACCAGCAAAGGAAGCAUCGGCUAACUACGUGCCAGCAGCCGCGGUAAGACGUAGGAUGCAAGCGUUGUCCGGAUUUAUUGGGCGUAAAGAGUUCGUAGGCGGUUAUCUAAGUCUGAUGUUAAAUACUGUGGCCCAACCACAGAACUGCAUUGGAUACUGGAUGACUUGAGUGCGGUAGAGGCAAGUGGAAUUCCCAGUGUAGCGGUGAAAUGCGU